rnacentral:lncRNA from 1 species
UGCCAUGAUAAUAUUACUGAAUAAGUAGUUGAAAUUAACAAGAUUUGUUUAUCUGUUGCUACGAUGGACCAUAACCAACAAGGGGUUGGGCGGCAAAAUCAACGAGAGAUUCAAUAAAAAUCUAAAACACAGUCUCAUCUUAUUCCAAACAAAUGAGAUCAUAAGCUACUUUGUUUCUCCUAAGGCCUGUAAAGGUGACUAGUUAGUUACCUCCAUUGUCAUGGAAGAAGAGUAAGCUAGUUAAAACCAAGAAGCAUGAGAUUCACUAUUGCCCACAAAAAGAGUAAAGCACUUCAACCGCUAGAGCUAUAUGGCUUAUUUAUAUAGUUAAGCUCAAACCAAAGCAUUUCACAUCUUCACCUUGUUGUAUUACUCUUAUUAGUUAGCAUCUUUUACGUUCUUGAUAUGGAUUGUUUACUUCUAUCGAGUACGUUUUCAAUGAUUAACAAUACAACAUUUCACCUCACAAUCCUAGUGUAGGUUAAAUACUUAUGAAAGAUUGAAGUGAUGAUCGUUAAGGUCCUUGGAUAUGAUGAUCGUUUUGGUAAUUCAACAUUUUUUUUUUGGUCAAAAGUAAUACAUAACUCAUCAAAAAUUACCCCGACCUAAUGCAAUUAAUCUUUAAAUAAUAUCACUGCCACUACACCAUUCUGUGUUGUUUCACAAACUUUAACGUACACUACACUCAAGGAUACAACCAAGCAUGAAACAGAGAGCACAAAGGUUUUAAUGAAUUACCACCUGUUCAGUUAAAUUUUUGAUUAAUUCCUCCCCAA